rnacentral:rRNA from 1 species
ACGAACGCUGGCGGCGUGCUUAACACAUGCAAGUCGAACGGAAAGGCCCUGCUUGCAGGGUACUCGAGUGGCGAACGGGUGAGUAACACGUGGGUGAUCUGCCCUGCACUUCGGGAUAAGCUUGGGAAACUGGGUCUAAUACCGGAUAGGACCGCACUUUAGUGUGUGUGGUGGAAAGUUUUUUCGGUGUAGGAUGAGCUCGCGGCCUAUCAGCUUGUUGGUGGGGUAAUGGCCUACCAAGGCGGCGACGGGUAGCCGGCCUGAGAGGGUGUACGGCCACAUUGGGACUGAGAUACGGCCCAGACUCCUACGGGAGGCAGCAGUGGGGAAUAUUGCACAAUGGGCGCAAGCCUGAUGCAGCGACGCCGCGUGGGGGAUGAAGGCCUUCGGGUUGUAAACUCCUUUCGCUAGGGACGAAGCUUUUUGUGACGGUACCUAGAGAAGAAGCACCGGCUAACUACGUG